rnacentral:rRNA from 2 species
UACGUAGGGUGCGAGCGUUAAUCGGAAUUACUGGGCGUAAAGGGUGCGCAGGCGGUCCUGCAAGUCAGGCGUGAAAUCCCCGGGCUUAACCUGGGAAUGGCACUUGAAACUACGGGACUGGAGUAUGGCAGAGGGAGGUGGAAUUCCACGUGUAGCGGUGAAAUGCGUAGAGAUGUGGAGGAACACCGAUGGCGAAGGCAGCCUCCUGGGCCAAUACUGACGCUCAUGCACGAAAGCGUGGGGAGCAAACAGG